rnacentral:rRNA from 1 species
CGGUGCGAUCAUACCAGCAUUAAUGCACUGGAUCCCAUCAGAACUCUGUAGUUAAUCAUGCUUGGGAUAGAGUAGUACUGGGAUGGGUGACCUCCCAAGAAGUCCUAGUGUUGCACCCU